UACGGGGGGAGCAAGCGUUGUUCGGAUUUACUGGGCGUAAAGGGCGGGUAGGCGGCCACCGCAAGUCAGUUGUGAAAUCUCCGGGCUUAACCCGGAAAGGUCAAGCCGAUACUGCGGGGCUAGAGUGCAGAAGGGGCAACUGGAAUUCUCGGUGUAGCGGUGAAAUGCGUAGAUAUCGAGAGGAACACCUGCGGCGAAGGCGGGUUGCUGGGCUGACACUGACGCUGAGGCGCGAAAGCUAGGGGAGCGAACGGG
rnacentral:rRNA from 1 species